GAGACAUGUAACGUGUGAGAGAGUGUGUACGAAGUAGCUGGUAUGUGCGUGAUGUGUAGGUUUAUGAAAUUGGAGUAUUGUGGUAAUUAGUAAUGAUGAAGGUAAUGAAGUAGUGAUGUUCUGGUUUUCGAAAGAAUGGAGUAAGGGAUGGAGAAUGGUUUGAAGUAAAGUUAAAAAACUGAGUGAGGUGAAGUUGAGGUUAAAUUAUGUAAAGGUGGUGUAAUACGAGGUUGAAGAAUGGUGCAGAGAAGAUAAAAUAAGGUUGUGUCAGUGUGGAGGUUAAUGUUUAAAUGAGCAAACAAAAGAGUAACCCAGAGGAAAUGUAAAAAAGUUAGGAAGGAGGUGUGAUAGUGAAGAGGUGUGAUGAAGUGAAGGGGAAUUGCUGAAAAAUAGAGUUUGAUGGUGAAUGGUUUGUGAACUAAUGUUGCCCCUGUAUGUCCUGCCUACGAGUUUUGAGUUUGGACAGUUAGUGAUAUGGUGAUUUAGUAGUGUGUGUGACUUGAUGAAAUGAUAAUCCAUAGAGGUGAAUAUGUAUUGUCCCAGAGAGUAAAAUAUCAUUUGAAAUUGGUAGAGAGAUGUACGAAUAGAAGACCAAUCAAAUAAUAUUUCACUUUGAUGAGGUAGCGAGGAUGAGAGAAUUUAGAGCGAGUAUAGAAAGUAAAAAAGAGAAAAAAUGGAUGUUGGUUUGAUUGUUAUGAAAGAAAUUUUGUUCCCCCUGUAGAUUGAUCCCCUAAAAUUUAGAAUAGUUGAUAAGGGUUUAUAGGUUUAUUCUCAAAAUAUUUGGAAUAUAGGUGAUGUGUAUGAGCUGAAAACACUGAAAAGAAAGUAUUCUGUGAGAAGGAGUGUAAAGUGUAUGAGGUGGAGAUUCCCAUUGCCCAGGCAAUUCUUAAUCCUUGGAUGUCCCUUGUGUGAGCUGGUAACAUGUUGGAGAUAAGAAUGUAAAUGAAGGAGUAGGUAUUGGUGCAGUUGACACGCUAUGUAUGGCAGAGUAGGGGGAGACCUGAGUUGAGCAGAAAUGUGGAUGAUUUAUAAUAAUUGUUUGCGACUUAAUCGUAGGUGCCCUGUGAAAAGAGGGAAGUCUGACUGAAGGUAGUAUAUCGAAGAGUAGAGUGAGUGAUGCUGUGUUGAUAAAGGCAAUGUGUGUAAAAUGUUUAAAAGAAGGAUUUGAAGAAGCCAUAGGUUUAAGUAAAGUGAGAAUGUGUCCCAAGAGUUCUUAGAGGUGAAUGAACAUAGGUGUGGUUGGAGUGUAUAGAUGUAAGAAACAAUGACUAGCAAGUUAGUAAUGUUUGAGAGCUGUUAUGGAAUUUGAUCGUGAGAGUUGCAUUAUUGAGUUUUUGGAGUUUUGUAUAAGCCAGGUGAUGAGUGUAAGACCCGUGACUGUUUAAAUUAGGAAGAGAGUAGAAGGUGUUCGAAGACCCUAUUGCAGAUGCAGAGACAAAAGGAAAGUCUGUUGGUGUAUUGAAAGUUGGAGUACAUGUAAGGUGUACAGAAAGUGUAAUUGAUGGCCCUUCCCAUUGAGGUACAGAUGCUGAUUGUUGUUUCGAACGAGAAGCUCCCACGUAAAUCCAACAUUAUAGGAAUUAUGUUAAUUUACGAUGUGUGUCGAAAUGAUGGAGAUACCUGAUAUGAGGUGAAAUGUAGGAUGGAGGUGUGUGUGUGUGAAAACGUGGCCCUUUCCCAAGUCAUAGAAUUAUUUAUUUCAGUUAUGUGUGGUGGAGAAUAAUGGUAGUGAGGAAGUAUUUUUGUGUGACAGAAUCAGAAGUUUUAUUGGUACCCGUAUUUGGCAAAGGAGUUGUGCUGAUGUUGAGAACAGGAAAUAUUGAAAACGUAGAUGAUGAAGGUGAAACUUGAUGUUGAUAAUGGUGAGUGGCUUUCUGGUGUGAUGUGUUAGUAUUAAAAUUUGUGGAAGUUAUAAAGAGUCCAAUUGUGGAGAGGUUGUUAGCUAUUGUGAAGUGAAAUACAGUGAAGUGUAGUAAAUAAAGAGACACUUGAUCGACCCUUGGUUAUUGAUAAGAAUGUAAAGAAGGUUUAUACUGUGUGGUAGUUUUGUUUUUUGUGGGUCAGCGUAAAAGAAUUUAUCCUUUGAGAUGUGUUAUGGAGGUAGAAAAGUGUAGGAAGUACAGUCCCUUAAUAUUUAGAAUACGAGAGGAAAUGAUAUAGUGGAGACAUGUAACGUGUGAGAGAGUGUGUACGAAGUAGCUGGUAUGUGCGUGAUGUGUAGGUUUAUGAAAUUGGAGUAUUGUGGUAAUUAGUAAUGAUGAAGGUAAUGAAGUAGUGAUGUUCUGGUUUUCGAAAGAAUGGAGUAAGGGAUGGAGAAUGGUUUGAAGUAGAGUUAAAAACCUGAGUGAGGUGAAGUUGAGGUUAAAUUUUGUAAAGGUGGUAUAAUACGAGGUUGAAGAAUGGUGCAGAGAAGAUAAAAUAAGGUUGUGUCAGUGUGGAGGUUAAUGUUUAAAUGAGGAAAUAAAAGAGUAAUCCAGAGAAAAUGUAAAAAAGUUAGGAAGAAGGUGUGAUAGUGAAGACUUGUGAUGAAGUGAAGGGGAAUUGCUGAAAAAUGGAGUUUGAUGGUGAAUGGUUUGUGAACUAAUGUUGCCCCUGUACGUCCUGCCUACGAGAUUUGAGUUUGGACAGUUAGUGAUAAGGUGAUUUAGUAGUGUGUGUGACUUGAUGAAAUGAUAAUCCAAAGAGGUGAAUAUGUAUUGUCCCAGAGAGUAAAAUAUCGUUUGAAAUUGGUAGAGAGAUGUACGAAUAGAAGACCAAUCAAAUAAUAAUUCACUUUGAUGAGGUAGCGAGGAUGAGAGAAUGUAGAGCGAGUAUAGAAAGUAAAAAAGAGAAAAAAUGGAUGUUGGUUUGAUUGUUAUGAAAGAAAUUUUGUUCCCCCUGUAGAUUGAUCCCCUAAAAUUUAGAAUAGUUGAUAAGGGUUUAUAGGUUUAUUCUCAAAAUAUUUGGAAUAUAGGUGAUGUGUAUGAGCUGAAAACACUGAAAAGAAAGUAUUCUGUGAGAAGGAGUGUAAAGUGUAUGAGGUGGAGAUUCCCAUUGCCCAGCCAAUUCUUACUCCUUGGAUGUCCCUUGUGUGAGCUGGUAGCAUGUUGGAGAUAAGAAUGUAAAUGAAGGAGUAAGUAUUGGUGCAGUUGACACGCUAUGUAUGGCAGAGUAGGAGGAGACCUGAGUUGAGCAGAAAUGUGGAUGAUUUAUAAUAAUUUUUUGCGAGUUAAUCGUAGGUGCCCUGUGAAAAGAGGGAAGUCCGACUGAAGGUAGUAUAUCCAAGAAUAGAGUGAGUGAUGCUGUGUUGAUAAAGGCAAUGUGGGUAAAAUGUUUAAAAGAGAUAUUGGAAGAAGGCAUAGGUUUAAGUAAAGUGAUAAUGAGUCCCAAGAUUCUUAGAGGUGAAUGAACAUAGAUCUAGUUGGAGUGUAUAGACGUAAGAAACAAUGACUAGCAAGUUAGUAUUGUUUGAGAGCUGUUAUGGAAUUUGAUCGUGAGAGUUGCAUUAUUGAGUUUUUGGAGUUUUGUAUAAGCCAGGUGAUGAGUGUAAGACCCGUGACUGUUUAAAUUAGGAAGAGAGUAGAAGGUGUUCGAAGACCCUAUUGCAGAUGCAGAGAGAAAAGGAAAGUCUGUUGGUGUAUUGAAAGUUGGAGUACAUGUAAGGUGUUCAGAAAGUGUAAUUGAUGGCCCUUCCCAUUGAGGUACAGAUGCUGAUUGUUGUUUGAAACUAGAAGCUCCCACGUAAAUCCAACAUUAUAGGAAUUAUGUUAAUUUACGAUGUGUGUCGAAAUGAUGGAGAUACCUGAUAUGAGGUGAAAUGUAGGAUGGAGGUGUGUGUGUGUGAGGACGUGGCCCUUUCCCAAGUCAUAGAAUUAAUUAUUUCACUUAUGUUUGGUGGAGAAUAAUGAUAGUGAGGAAGUAUUUAUGUGUGACAGGAUAAGAAGUUUUAUUGUUACGCGUAUUUGGCAAAUGAGUUGUGCUGAUGUUGAGAACAGGAAAUAUUGAAAAUGUAGAUGAUGAAGGUGAAACUUGAUGUUGGUAAUGGUGAGUGGCUUUCUGGUGUGAUGUGUUAGUAUUAAAAUUUGUGGAAGUUAUAAAGAGUCCAAUUGUGGAGAGGUUGUUAGCUAUUGUGAAGUGGUAUACAGUGAAGUGUGGUAAAUAAAGAGACACUUGAAUGACCCUUGGUUAUUGAUAAGAAUGUAAAGAGGGUUUAUACUGUGUGGUAGUUUUGUUUUUUGUGGGUCAGCGUAAAAGAAUUUAUCCUUUGAGAUGUGUUAUGGAGGUAGAAAAGUGUAGGAAGUACAGUCCCUUAAUAUUUAGAAUACGAGAGGAAAUGAUAUAGUGGAGACAUGUAACGUGUGAGAGAGUGUGUACGAAGUAGCUGGUAUGUGCGUUAUGUGUCGGUGUAUGAAAUUGGAGUAUUGUGGUAAUUAGAAAUGAUGAAGGUAAUGAAGUAGUGAUGUUCUGGUUUUCGAAAGAUGGAGUAAGGGAUGGUGUAUGGUUUGAAGUAGAGUUAAAAACCUGAGUGAGGUGAAGUUGAGGUUAAAUUUUGUAACGGUGGUAUAAUACGAGGUUGAAGAAUGGUGCAGAGAUGAUAAAAUAAGGUUGUGUCAGUGUUGAGGUUAAUGUUAAAAUGAGGAAAUAAAAGAGUACUCCAGAGAAAAUGUAAAAAAGUUAGGAAGGAGGUGUGAUAGUGAAGAGGUGUGAUGAAGUGAAAGUUAAUUGCUGACAAAUGGAGUUUGAUGGUGAAUGGUUUGUGAACUACUGUUGCCUCUGUACGUCCUGCCUACGAGAUUUGGGUUUGGACAGUUAGUGAUAUGCUGAUUUACUAGUGUGUGUGACUUGAUGAAAUGAUAAUCCAUAGAGGUGAAUAUGUAUUGCCCCAGAGAGUAAAAUAUCGUUUGAAAUUGGUAGAAAGA